UACGGUCACGUCACGUUGAGACACUGGCUCCCGUACGAUCACCGAAGUUAAGCAACGUUAACCCUGGUCAGUACCUAGAUGGGUGACUACUUAGGAAUACCAGAUGCUGUAAG